GCCGGGCGUGGUGGCGCGCGCCUGUAGUCUCAGCUACUCGGGAGGCUGAGGUGGGAGGAUCGCUUGAGUCCAGGAGUUCUGGGCUGCAGUGCGCUAUGCCGAUCGGGUGUCCGCACUAAGUUCGGCAUCAAUAUGGUGACCUCCCGGGAGCGGGGGACCACCAGGUUGCCUAAGGAGGGGUGAACCGGCCCAGGUCGGAAACGGAGCAGGUCAAAACUCCCGUGCUGAUCAGUAGUGGGAUCGCGCCUGUGAAUAGCCACUGUACUCCAGCCUGGGCAAUAUAGUGAGACCCCGUCUCUU
rnacentral:SRP_RNA from 1 species